rnacentral:misc_RNA from 1 species
GGAGAAACCUGCUCCUUGUUUCCUUUUUGCAAGGAAAUUCACACGGCCUGCAGCUCUGAGGCUUCUCAAUAUGUCUGCGCUUGGACUUCACCACGAAGAAAUAAACAACGUUUGACACCAUGGUGAAAUGAGCAACAUUUGACAUCUACAGUACUGUACCAUCUAGCUAUUAGAAGAUAUAGAAAGUUGACUAGCUACAGAAAAUUGUAAUCUAGCUGAUAAAUGGGGAAGAUG